rnacentral:lncRNA from 1 species
GAAAAACUGGCAUUGGGGAGUUUAAGCACUUGGGCUAAAAUACUUGGCACGAUAGUAUCAGUAUCAGGAGCAAUGCUGGUGGUUCUUUAUAAAGGCCCAACUAUCAUAUCGACUUCAUCAAUGCCUUCACAAUCUCUUCAAUGGCCUCUACAAUCAACACAGUCAAGAUGGGUCAUCGGUGGCAUAUUGCUUCUUAUUGAGAACCUACUUAUUUCAGUCUGGUACAUUAUACAGGUACAUAACAAAAUUAUGAAUAAUGCUCAGAGUUUCAGCAUACGAGUAAUCCCAAUUAAUGUGUCAGCUUAUUAAACAGAACCUCAUUUGGUAAAUUAUUAAUCACAUCAUGAUGUUACAGUUACAGAUAAAACUACCAUAUCUAUUUAGUAUUCAAAUGUUGGGACUUUUAGUAUCAUCGUAAAAUUAUUACAUUAAUUCUCUAAUAUACUUUCAUAUAAAGAUUUUAAAGAUAUUUGGGAUUCUGUGACUUUUUAACAGACCCAAAUUAUGAAGUUAUACCCAGCAGAAUUUGUCGUAACAUUGCUUUACGGCUUGUUUGCCACAAUUAUAUCUGCGCCGAUAUGUUUCAUGGGAGAGUCAAAUUUGAGUGCUUGGAGGCUAAAACCUGACGUAGAAUUGGCUUCCAUUGUAUAUUCGGUAAGACUCCAAUCCAAUAGAAGAGACUUGAAUUCCGAAGAAGGGCAUCGAUUGAAAUGCCUUAGUGAAAGAUUCUUUUCUUUUUGUUUCAGGCAUUUUUUGGAUUAACAUUUAGUGCUGUUGUGCACACAUUUGGCCUGCGCAUGAAAGGCCCUGUGUACACAGCAAUUUUCAAGCCUUUGUCAAUUGCCAUCGCAGCCAUUAUGAGUUUCAUAUUCCUCGGCGAGGCUCUCCAUCUAGGGAGGUAAUAUUAUUAUAAUCAAUUACCCACUAGUUGGCUUGCUAGUUUUUGUUUUGAAUUUCGAGUCGGGGCCGAACUUUUUAUAAUCUUUUGCUGACGUGAAUUUAUAACAAUAUAUGAUUAAAAUUUAAUUUUAUAUUAUUUCUUAUUUAAUAACUAUCAAUUAUAAAUUAUUAAAAAAAAAUUAGAAAGAUUAUCAACUUAUCGCAAAAUUUAAAUCCAUUUUUGUUCUUGUAUGACUUAUUAAUGUCUUUCUUAAUUAUAAUCUCUUUUGUUGCAUGCAGCGUGAUUGGAGGAGUAAUAAUAUGUGUAGGGUUUUAUGCUGUAUUAUGGGGAAAGGCCAAUGAUGAAGGGGGAAAGAACGAAGACUCUUGUAAAAUCCCAUUGUUGCAAAGUCCUUCAAAUUGAAGACAUACAUAGAUUGUACGGUAUCAAAUAUCUUAUUGCUAACCGCUUGUAUGCAUUGUCAAUUGGAGCUAUGUCUUUAGGGGUUUAUUCAUCAUUUUACUCUGAGUUGUAUGUUGUCGCUAUGAUUUUGGAGGUUGUCAUGUCUAAGGGUUGGUCUCUUAUUUGGCUUGAAUGUGAUUCUCUUGAUACUGUUGUUUAUUUUUAGCGUUCAAUUUAUCUCACUUCUAAUGAUCUCUAUGUUCGUUGGUUGAAUUAUACCUGUCGAUUUAGACUUGUAUCCUUCAAAUGGAUUGGGAGAGAUGGGUAGUGUGCAUCUGUCUCUGUCUGUCUAUGUGUGUGUGCUGUGUAGAAAUUCUUUAUUUAUUUAUAUUUUUUAAUUUUAAAUAUUUUUUAAUUUCAAGUGGAAGAAUUGAUUAAUUUGUCGAUUCGGUUCAGUUUUGACCCGAAUUGAACACAAACCAAUCGAUUUACUUAUUUUUGACCCAUUCGAUUCUUACUUUCUGAAUCGAACUGAACCAAACGGAAAGAUUUCAAUUCGGUUCGACAAAAACUGAAUCAUUUGCCCACCCCUACUACAUAAUCAAAAUUAGAUUAAUUAACAUACAUACCUUUACAUUUAAAAAUAAUAUGUUUUGAAUACUAAGUGAUGCAGUGGAAAAUUAAUGUUUUAAUAUUCAGUUGAUUCUAAAUAAUACUAAAAUAAAAGAAGAACUAAAUUCAUGUUCAUUCGAAAGAAUACUAUGAAUUUAUGGGGUUAAGACUCAUAGAUUCCGCAAAAUAUCGAAAAUCAACUAAUCUUAAAAACUCAUAUAGAACUUUAAACUUAAAUCUACUUUCAAAGGCUACAAGAGAGGGUUAUUUAUAUUAUUAGUAAUUAUCUUAAAUCAUAAAGAAGGAAAUAAAGUCUAAAACUAGAAAGAAAAGAAUGAUAAACUCUAGACAAUAAGAAAAUUAAUCUAAAUAUAAUAAGAAUUUCUAAUAGGCAUCAUUAAGUUUCAGUGAUUAUGAAUAAAAUAAUAAAAAUAGCAAGACCGACAGCACUUUUAGAAAUAUUUAGGCAGACAACAAUAGCAAGAAUGGUAACUGAAUUUUUCAAUCAAACAUGUUCUCAGACCCAAAUAUAUUAGUUCGAAAUUAAUGUGUGAAUUGGCAUCAACAAUGAAUAGCAUCUUCCUCUCGAUAGUUGAAAAGACAAAAUUCCUAUGAUUGUCAGUGUAUAUUUUUUUUAAUGGUUGGUAAGAGCAAUUAAGAGUCAAACCUUGCCAUUCCCAACGAACGAUAGAGUGUGUGUGUAUUGUGUAGAGGUGGAAAGGAGCAACUCAUUCAAAGAUGGUGUGUUAUUCACAGCCAUUCCCAAUGAUGUGUGUACUUGGAUCGGUUUGGUUUUUAUCCGAACUGAAGACAAACCAAUCAAUUUGCUUAUUUUUUACCCGUUCGGUUCUAAUUCUCUGAAUCGAAUCGAAUCGAACUGAAAAAUUUUGAUUUGGUUCAGCAAAAACUGAACUGUUUGCCCACCCCUACUAUAUAAUCAAAAAUAGAAUAAUUAAUAUACCUAUACAUUUGAAAAUAACAUGUUUUUUAAUAUUAAGUGAUCAUGCAACAAAAAUUUAAUGUUUUAAUAUUUUGUUAAUUUUAGAGAAUAUCAGCACAAAGUCACAAAGGAACAAACUAAAUUUACGUUGAUUCGAAAUAGUAUCAUAAACCUAGGGAAGUUAAGACUCAUUGAUUCCGCAAAAUAUUGAGAAUUAACUAUACUAAAAAACUCACACAUAAUUAUUUGGUUGCGAAUGCAUGGUGUAGGAGCCAAUGCACCGCAGCAGUACUCCAAUAAUUGAUCAAUAUUGUCAUAUGCAAAGAAGUACAACAGUACUCUUACUGUUAUUUGUAAUAGCUUGCACGAGGAAUACUGGGGCAUGCCCAGGAAUUGAUUCAUUUAAUCGGUCUAGCUGCUCCUAUUUGUUGUUGUUUUUUAUUUUUUUUCCCGUUAAAAUACCUAGGCUGUCCUCUUUAUCAAUAGGUUUGCAUGCAACGCAAGGAAAAAAAAAAUUUGACACAAUGGACGAGGUAAUAUGCCCUCAUCGGUCCACAAAAAUCAGCUAGUCCAAGUGGAUUCUUAAAACAUGGAUCAUGAUUCUCUCUUGAUAUGAUCAUUUCCUGAGCAACUCAAUUGUUGAUUGGUAAUUAAUAAAUAAAGUAAUAAAAGAAGUUAAAUCUUACCCAUAUACUACCACUAAAACACACAUAACAAAAGAUCUUAAAAAAUUCAAAAGAAAUCAUAUUAGGAGAUGAUCAUUUUCCCUAAAGGAGAGGGUCACCUCGCAUGACAGGCAACAACAGAGGAACACAUGGACUUCAACCAUAAAGGUCCCUUGCCAUUUGCCAAUCCUUCAAAGACCAACUCACUAGUGCUGCAAAAGUUAUAAGGCUCACUCGUGAGUCCCAAAAGGCCCACGUCUGAAAAACAUUGGGUCAUACGUCAGGCCCAAGAGUCCACCAUGCCUACUACAUUUUCAAACUAAUGUCACAAAUUUCCAUUCAAAAAAAAAAGUAAAGUCACAAAUUUGAUAUUUACAAUAGCUCAUCACUUUUUUUUUUUUUUUAAUUAUACGAGACUAUUACUUAGAUUACAACUCAUAUUUAAUGAGAUUAGUAUAUUGAUAUUUACAAUCAGACAAAUACUGAAACUAAUUUACAAAUUUUAUAUAAUACAAUUCAUAUUUUUACCCUAUCUAAUAUUCGAGGGACGUCCACUAUUGGGACUAAUUUACAAAUCUUAUAUAAUACAAUCUAGAUUUUUACCAUCUCUAAUAUUCGAAGAACGUCUACUCCACUCAUAUUUAAAAAAGGAGAGGACUGCCUUCAAAGACAUACAGAACUCUGAAAACUGAAAGUAUUAUUAAAUUUAAAUCUACCUUCAAAGGAUAUAAGAGAGGACUAUUUAUAUUAAUAGUAAUUAUCUUAAAAAGAAGGAAAAUAAAGUCCUAAACUAGAAUGAAAAGAAUAAUAAACUUUAGAAAAUAAGAAAACUAAUCAAGUAUGAUAAGAAAUCUAAUAAGCAUCACUGUGUCUCGUUGAUUAUGAAUAAAAUAAUAAAAAUAGCAAGACCGAUGGCACUUAUUGAAAUAUUUAGGCGGACAGCACUCAGCAAGAUUGAUAACUGAAUUUUUCAACCAAACAUGCUCUCAAACCCAAAUAUACUUUUGGUUCGAAAUUAAUGUGUGAAGUGGCAUCAACAACGAAUAGCAUCUUCCUCUCUCGAUAGUUUAUCAAUAAAGACAAAAAUUCCUAUAAUUGUCAUUAUAUAUUUUUAUUUUUUUAAUGGUUGGUAAGAGCAAUUAAGAAUCAAACCUUGCCAUUCCCAGCGAACGAUAGAGAGUGUGUGUACUGUGUAGAGAUGGAAAGGAGCAACUCAUACAAGGAUGGUCUGUUAUUCACAGCCAUGGUGGCAGUGGAGUGCACGAAUGUAGGCUUGAACAUUCUAUUCAAGUUAGCCGCUAGCAAAGGAAUGAGCUACUUUGUCUUCGUCUUCUAUUCUUAUGCUUCUACUACUAUUGUUCUCCUCUUUUUCCCCUUCAUCUUUCGCAGGUACUUGAUUAACUGUUACUCUCUCAAAUCUUCUUUUGAUCAUCAAUCACCUCACCAAUAAAAAAAAAUCAUCUUUAAUUUGUUAAUACUUGUUCAGUAACACGGCGUCGCUUCCGUUGUUAAAGUUUCCUGUGAUCUCCAGAAUCUGCCUCCUUAGCCUCGUUGGGUAUGUAGAAUAUUAAUCACUGGAAACAAACUUUGAUUGAUUUGUUUGGUUAUUAAUUAAUUUUCUUGAAUUUUUACUUUUUUUUUUGGUGGUUGGGGGGGGGGGGGGGGGGGAGCAGAUCCUCGUAUGAGAUUCUUAGGUAUACAGGUAUAGCAUAUAGCUCUCCAACUCUAGAUUCAAUGAUCAGCAAUCUCACUCCUGCUUUCACCUUCAUCCUUGCUAUCAUUUUCAGGUUCCAUCCUUUUAUCUUUAAAAGUACUCUAUUAUUUUUAGACAAUUACAUCGAGAUAAGAUAUAAAUUGACCAUUAUAGUCUAAGAAUAUAAUUAUCAGGAAAAAAAAGAAAUAUUAAUAAUUAUUUCCUGAGAAGAAAAAGUUUCUGUGAUUAUUUUACUAAAGUACCAGAAUAUUAUCGUCUUUUUUUCAUAAUUAUUAUACUUUCUUAAAUUGAUUAUGGACCACAUAAAUUAUUCUUGAUACACCAAUGAUGUUCCAUGACAACCAAAAUGGACAAAAAAAAAAAUCUAAAUGAUUGGCGGUUAGAAUAAAAGACCAUAUAUCUAUGUCGGGUCAUGGUUUUAGCGCAUUUGUGUUAUUUGAAAUAUCUCAUCGUUUCCGAACAACUUUCAACAUUUUUGCUUUAAUUUUUUUUUUCAGCUAUGGAAUAGUGGAAAUUAGUGAAAGAGACAACACGAACAGUAGCGAUUUAACAACUACAAGAAUAAAAUUUCAGGAAGUCUGUCAAAUUCGUCAAUUAUCUCAUUUAUAUGUUUCUGUAUUUAUUUGAUCAUUUAUGUCCAUUGACUUGUCCGGUACUGUUAAUUAAUUGCAACAAUGCACAAACGUUUCGCAAUUACAACAUGCCAAUAUCCCUGAUGUUUUGAGAAAGUGUGAAUGGUUUUAUUAAAAAGUAAGUUUACUCACUUGCGUCUCUAAUUUUCUUCAAUAUGUCAACAAAGUCCCAAAUGCUUAUAAGAGUUUUACACCAUAUGCCCUAAAAAUAUACUUUUAUUGCGGAUCUAUAGAGAUCGCACAAUCAGCACGUUCAAUCAUGAAACUAUCUCUCAGACUAAUUCUAAUAGUGAUUUAAGUUAAAUAAUUAAAUAAAUAUUAUUUUGUUUUAGACAUACAACACAUUGGGUGUAAAAUAUCUCAAAGAAUAUUUAAGUUGUCAUAUAACUUUUAUGGCGGUGACCCACUUACUUUAGUCCAUUGUUUUUUAUCAUUUUUGUCUUUUGAUGUCGAAAUUUCUCCUCAGCUAUCAUCGUCAACUGUCACUUUUUUACAAUUAUGUAAAUAAUUAUGGAAAAAUAGUUUGUUUUUUCUCUCUCGAAAUAAAAGUGGAAUGACAUUCUUCGAAUAUUUAAAAAUGUCAAAAUCUAAAUUCUUGUCUCAAAAUUAUUUGAUUAUAAAUAUAUCAAUAAAUAUUCUCAUGUAAUGUGAGUUGUAAUCCUAUACAUUAGUCUCUUGUGAUAAAAAAAAAAAAAAACUGUCACUUUUUCAUUUGAUCUUUUUCUCUUUUCUUAUUUUCUCCAAAUAGGAUGGAAAAACUGGCAUUGGGGAGUUUAAGCACUUGGGCUAAAAUACUUGGCACGAUAGUAUCAGUAUCAGGAGCAAUGCUGGUGGUUCUUUAUAAAGGCCCAACUAUCAUAUCGACUUCAUCAAUGCCUUCACAAUCUCUUCAAUGGCCUCUACAAUCAACACAGUCAAGAUGGGUCAUCGGUGGCAUAUUGCUUCUUAUUGAGAACCUACUUAUUUCAG